rnacentral:lncRNA from 1 species
CAGCAAUGAAUGAGAAUUCUUGUUGCUUUAACAUCCUUGCCUGCAUUUGUUGUUAGUGUUUUGGAUUUUCGUCAUCCUAAUAGACACACAAGUGGAGAAGAUAAAUAGUAAUUUGGAACCAAAACUCAGGACGUCCCAGGAGAGGCUAGAUUAGGAAUUCUUUGAUUUGGGAUCACGAAAAUGAAGUAUCCAUAUUUUAACAGAAUGAUUAGUGGCAGAGGAAUCAUCUAAGAAAACUGAGAAGACUCUGCCAGAGUGAUGGGAAGAAAACUAGAUGAGAAAGCACCAUUCUGGAAGACAUGCUCCCAUGAACCAUGGAGAGAAGAGGAGAGGGAAGAAGUUAUUUGUGAUGUCAUUUGCCUGUGUCAUGGCCUGCCUUCCCUAGAUAUUGUCCUAAUGUGAGCAUCACACCUAAGGUACUGAAGUAGAGUUCUGGCUGUUCCUUACGGACAUCUCUGGUGGACCUCCAUCUGUUUUUGAUACAAGUCAGUCUUUUCCUGGACUUUUGGUAUCAUAUGGACAAUGUCAGUCAUUUGGCUGAAAAGUUCAACUUGAGCAGUUUUAACAUCUUGGAGCACUACUGGAAGAUUCAUUUUUCCGUCAUAACUAUCAUCAUCUUGAUUACAAUCAUCAGAUGUCACAGUGGGAUAUCCAGUUGAAUCUUGGUGCCGAAUCUUACAUUUGUGGUAAACAUUUUUAAGAGACUGUCUGACCUUGGAGAGAUUUGAAGUCCACAUCUGCCUAGCAGCAGCUUUUACCCUUUUGGUGUGAAGUGUGUACAUCUUUCAUGGUGAAACAAGAGGCAAGGUGUUGGAAAACAGAAUCACAGGAAGAAAUAAUGUACAAAUGAAAUGGUCCUUCUCUUACUAUUUGUUGGAUGCCUUUCCUGAUAACAUCUUAGAACACUCUGGAAAUCAUCAGCCACAGCAAUAGACACUGUUAGGUGAUUAGCUUCUUAUAGAGCAGCCCAACCAGAGAGCUCUGUGAAAUAAUAGUCAACUGCAUGGAAUCUUUCAUAUGGUAAUCAUUGACCUGCUGCUGAUGUCACAAUGACUGCUGGCUUAGAACAAACAUAUUUAACUACAGCAGUUCUCAAAAGUUUUGGUCAUAGGGCUCUUUUUGAAUCAUAGAAAUUGUUGAGCAGCCUGAGGAACACAGAAAAACACCUGUUGCUACAAAAAAAUAAAAAAAUUAGCCAGCCAUGGUGGUGCAUGCCUGUAGCCUCAGCUACUUGGGAGGCUGAGGUGGGAGGAUCACUUGAGCACAGGGGGUGGAGACUGUAGUAUGCCAUGAUGGUACCACUGCACUCCAGCCUG